AGUGAACGCUGGCGGUAGGCCUAACACAUGCAAGUCGAACGGCAGCACAGUAAGAGCUUGCUCUUACGGGUGGCGAGUGGCGGACGGGUGAGGAAUACAUCGGAAUCUACUUUUUCGUGGGGGAUAACGUAGGGAAACUUACGCUAAUACCUCAUACGACCUACGGGUGAAAGCAGGGGAUCUUCGGACCUUGCGCGAUUGAAUGAGCCGAUGUCGGAUUAGCUAGUUGGCGGGGGAAAGGCCCACCAAGGCAACGAUCCGUAGCUGGCCUGAGAGGAUGCGAGGCCACAAGGGGACUGAUACCCGCCACAACCCCCCACGGGGGGCAGCGGGAGGGGAUCGGCGGCAAGUGGCGGAAGUCUGACCGAACAACGCGGGGGGGGUGAAAAAGGUUGUCGGAUCGUAAAACUCUUUUGGGAGGGAAGAAAGGAGGGGGGACGGGCACGCUCCUCAAGUGACGGUAACUAACCAGAAAGGGACGGCUAACUACGUG
rnacentral:rRNA from 1 species